rnacentral:lncRNA from 1 species
UCGGACGUCCUGAUUCCUCUGAACCCUGCAGACUCUCAGACAGUAAAAGUGAUCUAACUGCUGCGAGUGAAGUCCUGGAGACCGGUCGGGAGACUGUUCAGCUGUUUUGCAUGAGAGCAAAGGAUCCACCAGGUGGCGC